CCAAAAAAAAUUUGCCUAUCGUCAUCAUGUUCAUCGUCGCGUUCGUCUGUAUGGCUGGUCUCUCGCGUUUUCAGCAAGAGAGCUAGAGUCGACCCAACAAGCUGUGGGUUCCGAGAAAUGCCGAGGCACUCGAUCAGAAGGAACGGGUGGAGAGAGCCUUUCCCGAAACAGCUCGCUAUGGCUUCUUGAUCGUCACUCCAACGAAGGGAGAAAAUGUUCUUACACCUGCUGUGUUGAAGGAGGUUGCACGUGGCUGACUGGUGUCAUGACGGAAAAAUAUUUGUGUUGUAUUGUGUAGCUCUAUGACCUGCAUGUGUCAAUUGUCAACACUACGGCACCGGGAAGCACUUUCUUUCAGGAGCACAAUACCACUUGGGAGCAGCUCUGCUUUAGGCGUAACCCGAGACGUUGCUGGAUUUCUAGCAUUUUGACGUUGUUGGAGUUUGAUAGAGACAGAAUCUAUGGUCUGACAUCCCAUGAUAUAUUGUCAGAAUUGAACAAAAACAAUCUUACUGACCCUUUGAUGGAGGCUUAUUUCAGAUGAGUCAAGUAAUUGGUGAUAUCAGCUACGACCCGGAUCUGAGCAAAAAGCACACAAUAAUUGGUGCUAAAGCUUUGCGAUUAAUCUACUGCAUAUUUACCAAUGAGACAUUCGACGAGAGUUCCGGCGAAGAAGUAGAUGAAUGUGCGGACGACUUCGAAAGGCGAGUGGACACAAUUGGGCAAAAGAAACAUGAUAAACUGGCCUCAUCUGUGAGAACAAACUUUGGUCUUCAGGAAAAGGCCGGCAAAGCAAUUCAAAACGACCUCACCAUUCUGGCUGUGGGUUACUUUCUCAUUAUUGCAUACGUCUGCAUCAGCCUUGGUCUAAUUACUCACCUUGAGCACAAAUAUGGCUUUCAUUUGCUGGUGUUAUAAGUACCGGUCUUGGCAUUGUCGUCUAGCUGACUUGGUCUGUGUAGUGCAUUUGGACUGUUCUAUGGGCCUGUACAUUCAGUACUUCCGUUUUUACUACUCGGUGUUGGAGUGGAUGAUAUGUUUGUGAUUGUGUCGUCAUGGGAGAAUUUAGACGAGAAGACUCAUAAAGAAAAGAGCAUCAGUGAACGAAUAGGAUUGACUCUGAAAGAGGCGGGAGUGUCGGUGACCGUGACGUCUUUAACUGAUUUGGUGGCAUUCCUAGUUGGAGCAUCGACUGUUUUGCCUGCAUUGCAGUCAUUCUGUGUGUUUGCUGGCAUUGGAAUUCUGUUUGACUUGAUAUUUCAAGUCACUGUCUUUACAGCAUUUUUGGCGAUUGAUGGAAGCAGAGUCGAUGCCAGAUAUGAUGCAUGUCUUUGUUUCAAGCUGUCUGAUGAUUACCAUGAGUUGAAAUGUUGUUGGACGUAGUGGCCAUUCCAAUCUGGUUGGUUUAAGCGAUUUGUUGCAGAUGUAUAUGCUCCUACUCUCAUGAAACCACCAGUCAACAUUCUGGUAAUUGUGGUUGCCAUGGCGGUGUUUGGUGUUGGUACUUAUGGUGUGACAAAGUUAGACCGACACUUUGAUUUUGAAAUGGUUCCUUCCAUUGGGACUGUAUAUUCUUGACUAUUUUGCUGACGAGGACUUGUAUUUUACUUUAAUUGGAACAAGAACUGCUGUAUAUACAGCCAGUGUACAGUAUUAUGCUCAAACCGAUCAAUUUGAUGAGUUGGGAAAGAACAUACUGAAAAACGAAUAUAUCAAUCCAAGUACUGUCGAGUAUUGGUACUUUGAUUACAAAAGUGGCUCAAUGAGUCUGCUUUGCCUAAACCCAAUGACAAGGCUAGUUUUUCAGAAACACUUCAUUGGUAUCUCAACACAUCUGAUCAUCAAGCUGACGUGAAGUUUUAGAAUGAAGACAUUGUGAAAAUAUCUCUACCACCUGUCACCACGUUAUUCUUCCUCAAUGCAAUGCGGAUGCUCUAGGCCUAACAGUCCUACACGCAGUUCUGUCUCGUCAGUCAGAGAAUGGCUCCAUUCUUGUUACUCGCGAUCCUACCAACGAUUUAACUCUUCAAUUGUGGGAUACUCAGCGGCUGCAUAGUUUUUCUGUGGAGUAUUUUCCUCUAAUAUUUAUGAAAUUCGAGAUAAAAUCUGCAAUUGACGUUCCUGUUUAUCAAAAGACCGUUUUCGAGUUCCCAUCUGUCCGAGGAGCCGAGAGAGUUUUUUCUCUAAUUGAGAAGAUGGUCAAAGAAACUUGAACUAUAAAUGAUUUAUAUCAAAAACGAGAAGUUCGAGCACGUGAUGGAGACGGUUUAUCCGCCAUUUACUACGAGUCAGUCAAGCCUCAAGCGUCUGGCAACUUGAUUUCACGUAGAGACUUUCCUUCCCAAAUCAAUGCAGAAAUGAGAGCUUCCCAUCGUCCACAUUCUACGCCGGAUUUGGCUAUUUCGAUAUCUCCGCUGUCGGAGAGGAGACUGGGGAGUGGAAUGUCUUUUCCGCCACCGCGGCGCCUGCGUCCUCAUAUGUCUCAUGCAGUUGGUCACGUGUCACAUGUGCAGUCUCGUCCAUUGCCGAGGCGUCGCCUACAUACGACAAGUGUUCUCCCUCGUGACGUCAUUUGACCUGGAUUUCUAGUGCCCAAGUGAUGAUUUACGGUUUAAACUAGAUACUGUAUAUACACGUAGUUGCAUGCUGUACGUACUAUACAUGGAUACGACUGUACGUCUUGAUUACUACGAUAAUUAAGUGUUGUGGACUUAUUGACCCGAGGCUCGCAUACGCUAUAGCUAAGGUUACAGUAGUGUGUCAGUAGAUGGACCGUCAAUUGG